rnacentral:rRNA from 1 species
AUGCGGGAUCAAACGGUCUGCUGGACUCUGCUACAUGCAUGGACGGACAGGGAUCUGUUGUCGUGCAUGAAUCGUGCGCACAGCAUCGUGUGUGUAGCACUGCUCGUUUGCAAUCGCACACCGGCCACUCAAAGUGUACCUGACCUGAGGACAGGGACCCCGCUUCGCGAGGAGAGGAGAUCACAAGGUUCAGACUUCAGAUCCGGAAUGGCGUCGAUCUCGAGCCCGCUGCCGGUGGCCUGGUACCCCGCUCUGGCCGUCCUCACGGUCGCCGUCGGCCUCAUGCUCACCGCCUCCUUCUUCAUUUAUGAAGCGACCAUAUCCACGCGCAGCCGAAGCUUAGCCAAGGAGCUCACCACCGCAGCUGUUGCUUCCGUUUUUCUGGGUUUUGGAUCUCUUUUCGUUCUCCUCGCAAGUGGUGUUUAUGUCUGA